rnacentral:rRNA from 1 species
GAUGAACGCUAGCGGCAGGCCUAACACAUGCAAGUCGAGGGGCAGCACGUCUUCGGAUGGUGGCGACCGGCGCACGGGUGCGUAACGCGUAUGCAACCUACCUCUUACAGUGGGAUAGCCCAGAGAAAUUUGGAUUAAUACCGCAUAGUAUACAGAUUCAGCAUUGGGACUGUAUUAAACAUUUAUGGGUAAGAGAUGGGCAUGCGUUCUAUUAGUUAGUUGGAGUGGUAACGGCACCCCAAGACAGCGAUAGAUAGGGGCCCUGAGAGGGGGAUCCCCCACACUGGUACUGAGACACGGACCAGACUCCUACGGGAGGCAGCAGUGAGGAAUAUUGGACAAUGGGCAGAGCCUGAUCCAGCCAUGCCGCGUGCAGGAAGACGGCCCUA